CUAAGAAAGCUGUUUGAUUUAACCCGUGGUUUCCCAAAUACUUUAGACCACUAAUUAAUUUUGUUUUCUGAAACAUUCGUUAAUAUGUUCACAGAAAAUUGUGGCAUUCACUUUGGAAAAUAUAUCUGUUUAAGAACAGAUAAUGAAUACAUAACAAAUUUAGAACUGUGUUAAGAUUCCAUAACUAAAACCACUCUAAACUUUCUGAAAUGGCUGAAAACGUUUCCCUAACUUUUCUGAAAGUACUUGCUGGGCUUCUUGGAGACUGAAUCAUCCCUUUUGAGCCCACUUAGGGGAAAGUUCAAAAGACCUCAGAGAAGACAAAAAGCAGGGCAAGAGAGACGGCCCAGUCUUCUAGCUCUCCACUGGAGAAAAUGCAUGUGGGAAAGGCUGGGGGUUUCCAUCCUCAAUAUUUAGUAAAAGAUAAAGUAAAAAUUACAACUGCCUUCUGAAUGGCUCCCCUCCCCUGACUUCAUGGGAGUGAUGACUCAGCCCUCUGUUUUGUAACUGCGGAGAUUGAAAGUGGAGACGGGACCUUUGGCAUUUCAGAAAAUGUCGACGCCGCUUUCUUCUGCUUUCUCCGGGACCCCUCUGGGGCCUCGCCUCCUCCCCUCCCGCUGAAAGCCUGCUGUGAAAGGAGCAAGGAUGUGAAAAAGAUGUACGACUCUUUGCUUCCUUAUGCUCGGCCCAAGUUUAUCAAAAGCUGUGGAGUUUGCUAAAAUAAUCCAGGGAAUUCGCCUGGAAAUGGUUUUUUUUUUUUUUUUUGGUUGUUGUUUGUCUUCACUUGUUCCAAAGAAGCAAAAUAAGACAGGGGCUGCCCCUUGUCCUGUCUCAUUCAUUUUUGACACCCUUGUUUCUCCACACAGGCCCUGGGGUGAAGGGCACAGGUGGGAUUCAGAAUAGAAAUGACUCGAGGGACGCAAGGAGUUGGGAUCAGAAGAAGCAGCAGAAACUCCUGCUCUGCAGACACAGCAGACAUUACUGGGAAAGACACCAGAGACCCAGGAGUUCACCCAAGUCCUCUGCACACUGUCUUCCCAGCCCUCUCUCCUGGAUCUGAGAUGAUUUCACUUAAAAACACAAGCCUUUGCUUAAAGGGAGAUAUAAGUGACAGCCACCUGGUGGUCAGGAGAACAAACUGCCGCCGUGUCUCCACACCCUGUGUGUCCUGAACACCGCUGGGAAGCCGUC
rnacentral:lncRNA from 1 species